rnacentral:rRNA from 1 species
AAAAUGGAGAGUUUGAUCCUGGCUCAGGAUGAACGCUGGCGGUAUGCUUAACACAUGCAAGUCGAACGGUCUUUUAGGAGACAGUGGCGGACGGGUGAGUAACGCGUAAGAAUCUACCUUCAGGUUGGGGACAACCACUGGAAACGGUGGCUAAUACCGAAUGUGCCGAGAGGUGAAAGGCUUGCUGCCUGAAGAAGAGCUUGCGUCUGAUUAGCUAGUUGGUAGUGUAAGAGACUACCAAGGCGACGAUCAGUAGCUGGUCUGAGAGGAUGAUCAGCCACACUGGGACUGAGACACGGCCCAGACUCCUACGGGAGGCAGCAGUGGGGAAUUUUCCGCAAUGGGCGAAAGCCUGACGGAGCAAUACCGCGUGAGGGAGGAAGGCUCUUGGGUUGUAAACCUCUUUUCUCAGGGAAGAACAGAAUGACGGUACCUGAGGAAUAAGCAUCGGCUAACUCCGUGCCAGCAGCCGCGGUAAUACGGAGGAUGCAAGCGUUAUCCGGAAUGAUUGGGCGUAAAGGGUCCGCAGGUGGCAUUGUAAGUCUGCUGUUAAAGAGUUUGGCUCAACCAAAUAAGAGCAGUGGAAACUACAAAGCUAGAGUGUGGUCGGGGCAGAGGGAAUUCCUGGUGUAGCGGUGAAAUGCGUAGAUAUCAGGAAGAACACCAGUGGCGAAGGCGCUCUGCUAGGCCGAGACUGACACUGAGGGACGAAAGCUAGGGGAGCGAAUGGGAUUAGAUACCCCAGUAGUCCUAGCCGUAAACGAUGGAUACUAGGCGUAGCUCGUAUCGACCCGAGCUGUGCCGGAGCUAACGCGUUAAGUAUCCCGCCUGGGGAGUACGCAGGCAACUGUGAAACUCAAAGGAAUUGACGGGGGCCCGCACAAGCGGUGGAGUAUGUGGUUUAAUUCGAUGCAACGCGAAGAACCUUACCAAGGCUUGACAUGUCACGAAUCCUAUUGAAAGAUGGGAGUGCCUUCGGGAGCGUGAACACAGGUGGUGCAUGGCUGUCGUCAGCUCGUGUCGUGAGAUGUUGGGUUAAGUCCCGCAACGAGCGCAACCCUCGUUUUUAGUUGCCAGCAUUAAGAUGGGCACUCUAGAGAGACUGCCGGUGACAAACCGGAGGAAGGUGGGGAUGACGUCAAGUCAGCAUGCCCCUUACGUCUUGGGCUACACACGUACUACAAUGCUCCGGACAAAGGGCAGCUACACAGCGAUGUGAUGCGAAUCUCAUAAACCGGAGCUCAGUUCAGAUCGAAGGCUGCAACUCGCCUUCGUGAAGGAGGAAUCGCUAGUAAUUGCAGGUAAGCAUACUGCAGUGAAUUCGUUCCCGGGCCUUGUACACACCGCCCGUCACACCAUGGAAGUUGGUCACGCCCGAAGUCGUUACCCCAACCUAUUGGAGGGGGAUGCCUAAGGUAGGACUGAUGACUGGGGUGAAGUCGUAACAAGGUAGCCGUACCGGAAGGUGUGGCUGGAUCACCUCCUUUU